UACGGGGGGAGCAAGCGUUGUUCGGAUUUACUGGGCGUAAAGGGCGCGUAGGCGGCCACCGCAAGUCGACUGUGAAAUCUCCGGGCUUAACCCGGAAAGGUCAGCCGAUACUGCGGGGCUAGAGUGCAGAAGGGGCAACUGGAAUUCUCGGUGUAGCGGUGAAAUGCGUAGAUAUCGAGAGGAACACCUGCGGCGAAGGCGGGUUGCUGGGCUGACACUGACGUGAGGCGCGAAAGCUAGGGGAGCGAACGGG
rnacentral:rRNA from 1 species